rnacentral:misc_RNA from 1 species
UCCGUAUGCCUGUGUUCUAUGAGAAAAUGGAUGUACUCCCCUGCCAUGAACACCCAUUAAGUAGAAGAGAAGUAUAAAGAGGAACAAAGAAGAUAAAGCACCAUAUUUGAGUAUUGUAAAUAAAACCCAAUAUCAGAGAUAUUACACACAUUAAUCUUCAUUGACAAAGUCUAGUUCUUCAAUGAUUUUGCCCCAUCACUAUAACUAGGUGUCCAUG